rnacentral:rRNA from 1 species
CAGUCCGCGGUAAUACGGAGGGUGCAAGCGUUAAUCGGAAUUACUGGGCGUAAAGCGCACGUAGGCGGUUAUUCAAGUCAGAGGUGAAAGCCCGGGGCUCAACCCCGGAACUGCCUUUGAAACUAGAUAACUAGAGUCUUGGAGAGGUUAGUGGAAUUCCGAGUGUAGAGGUGAAAUUCGUAGAUAUUCGGAAGAACACCAGUGGCGAAGGCGACUAACUGGACAAGUACUGACGCUGAAGUACGAAAGCGUGGGGAGCAAACAGGAUUAGAUACCCCCGUAGUCCCUGUCUCUUAUACAC